rnacentral:rRNA from 1 species
GACCUUGCGUUAUUCGAGCGGCCGACGUCUGAUUAGCUAGUUGGUGGGGUAAAGGCCUACCAAGGCGACGAUCAGUAGCGGGUCUGAGAGGAUGAUCCGCCACACUGGGACUGAGACACGGCCCAGACUCCUACGGGAGGCAGCAGUGGGGAAUUUUGGACAAUGGGGGCAACCCUGAUCCAGCCAUUCCGCGUGAGUGAAGAAGGCCUUCGGGUUGUAAAGCUCUUUCAGCUGGAGUGAAACGGUUCGCUCUAACAUAGCGAGCUAAUGACGGUACCAGCAGAAGAAGCACCGGCUAACUACGUGCCAGCAGCCGCGGUAAUACGUAGGGUGCGAGCGUUAAUCGGAAUUACUGGGCGUAAAGCGUGCGCAGGCGGAUUGUUAAGCAAGACGUGAAAUCCCCGGGCUUAACCUGGGAAUGGCGUUUUGAACUGGCAGUCUAGAGUGCGUCAGAGGGGGGUGGAAUUCCGCGUGUAGCAGUGAAAUGCGUAGAGAUGUGGAGGAACACCAAUGGCGAAGGCAGCCCCCUGGGAUGACACUGACGCUCAUGUACGAAAGCGUGGGUAGCAAACAGGAUUAGAUACCCUGGUAGUCCACGCCCUAAACGAUGUCAACUGGUUGUUGGGGGAGUGAAAUCCCUUAGUAACGAAGCUAACGCGUGAAGUUGACCGCCUGGGGAGUACGGUCGCAAGAUUAAAACUCAAAGGAAUUGACGGGGACCCGCACAAGCGGUGGAUGAUGUGGAUUAAUUCGAUGCAACGCGAAAAACCUUACCUACCCUUGACAUGUCCAGAACCCUGAAGAGAUUUGGGGGUGCCCGAAAGGGAAUUGGAACACAGGUGCUGCAUGGCUGUCGUCAGCUCGUGUCGUGAGAUGUUGGGUUAAGUCCCGCAACGAGCGCAACCCUUGCCAUUAGUUGCUACGAAAGGGCACUCUAAUGGGACUGCCGGUGACAAACCGGAGGAAGGUGGGGAUGACGUCAAGUCCUCAUGGCCCUUAUAGGUGGGGCUACACACGUCAUACAAUGGCCGGUACAAAGGGCAGCCAACCCGCGAGGGGGAGCCAAUCCCAUAAAGCCGGUCGUAGUCCGGAUCGCAGUCUGCAACUCGACUGCGUGAAGUCGGAAUCGCUAGUAAUCGUGGAUCAGCAUGUCACGGUGAAUACGUUCCCGGGUCUU